rnacentral:rRNA from 1 species
UACGUAGGGUGCGAGCGUUGCCCGGAUUUAUUGGGCGUAAAGGGCGCGUAGGCGGCCACGCACGUCCGUUGUGAAAUCGCCCGGCUCAACUGGGCGGGGUCAGCGGAUACGGUGUGGCUAGAGCAAGCUAGGGGGCAAUGGAAUUCCCGGUGUAGUGGUGGAAUGCGUAGAUAUCGGGAGGAACACCAGUGGCGAAGGCGGUUGCCUGGAGCUUUGCUGACGCUGAUGCGCGAAAGCGUGGGGAGCGAUUCGG